rnacentral:ncRNA from 2 species
CCAUCCGAGGAGCGUUGCAGCGUUCCCCAGCCAGCCAUGAGCUGGCCUGCGCGGGGCGUGAGGCUCGGAUUUCAUCCCGCAACGACGCUCGCCCACG